UUAGUAACGGCGAGUGAAGCGGCAAAAGCUCAAAUUUGAAAUCUGGUACCUUCGGUGCCCGAGUUGUAAUUUGGAGAGGGCAACUUUGGGGCCGUUCCUUGUCUAUGUUCCUUGGAACAGGACGUCAUAGAGGGUGAGAAUCCCGUGUGGCGAGGAGUGCGGUUCUUUGUAAAGUGCCUUCGAAGAGUCGAGUUGUUUGGGAAUGCAGCUCUAAGUGGGUGGUAAAUUCCAUCUAAAGCUAAAUAUUGGCGAGAGACCGAUAGCGAACAAGUACAGUGAUGGAAAGAUGAAAAGAACUUUGAAAAGAGAGUGAAAAAGUACGUGAAAUUGUUGAAAGGGAAGGGCAUUUGAUCAGACAUGGUGUUUUGUGCCCUCUGCUCCUUGUGGGUAGGGGAAUCUCGCAUUUCACUGGGCCAGCAUCAGUUUUGGUGGCAGGAUAAAUCCAUAGGAAUGUAGCUUGCCUCGGUAAGUAUUAUAGCCUGUGGGAAUACUGCCAGCUGGGACUGAGGACUGCGACGUAAGUCAAGGAUGCUGGCAUAAUGGUUAUAUGCCGCCCGUCUUGAAACACGGACCA
rnacentral:rRNA from 1 species